rnacentral:rRNA from 1 species
UCCUAGUACGAGAGGACCGGAGUGGACGAGCCUAUGGUGUGCCUGUUGUCCUUCCAAGGGCAUCGCAGGGUAGCUAAGCUCGGCAGGGAUAAGCGCUGAAAGCAUAUAAGCGCGAAGCUCGCCCUAAGAUAAGGUUCCCCACCGGGUAACCGGGUAAGACCGCAGGGAGACUACCUGCUUGAUAGGGCGCACGUGGAAGGCCCGCGAGGGCUGCAGCGAAGCGCUACUAAUGGUCGAGGGCUUGACCUC